CUACAUGUUCCCACUGUCCAUUGUCAUGCCUCAUUGCUCUCUGGACUCCUCGCAACUGCUGGGAACAAGGCACAAGCAGUUUUAAAAUGCUCCGAUGCUCGGCAUAGUUUUCACAGGAGCAGUCAGCAGUGAUGUCAUCAGGGGAGAUCCCAUACCAUAUGUGUAUAGCCAGCCCUGCCCAACAAACAUAGCAUGAGCGAGUAGGACACUGUAACUUGAUGUAAAUCCAUUUGAGGAUACUAUUGAGAACCUAUUGUUAGAACUAGGCUUCAUGGAUCUACUCUUCUACCUGGAGAGCUUUUGGUGCAUCCCGGGAUAACUACAUUAACAACUUUAUAAGCCCCGGUGACAUUAAAAAGCCAAUAUACCAUCAAUCUAAAAAUCAACCAAUCAGCUUCCUGAGAGUCACAAAAAAGGAAUUAACUCCCCAACACCAAUGAGAUUGCAGAGGAUAUCAGCAGCUAUAGAAAAUGGUUCCUUUCACCAUUAGAUAAGAAGAAAACAGUUUAAUUUCAGUUUCAAAAAGAUUAAAUAAAGUUUUAUAAAUA